GAUGAAGAACGUAGCGAAAUGCGAUAAGUAGUGUGAAUUGCAGAAUUCAGUGAAUCAUCGAAUCUUUGAACGCACAUUGCGCCCCUUGGUAUUCCAUGGGGCAUGCCUGUUCGAGCGUCAUUUGUACCUUCAAGCUCUGCUUGGUGUUGGGUGUUUGUCUCGCCUCUGCGUGUAGACUCGCCUUAAAACAAUUGGCAGCCGGCGUAUUGAUUUCGGAGCGCAGUACAUCUCGCGCUUUGCACUCAUAACGACGACGUCCAAAAGUACAUUUUUACACUCUUGACCUCGGAUCAGGUAGGGAUACCCGCUGAACUUGAGCAUAUCAAUAAGCGGAGGA
rnacentral:misc_RNA from 1 species